AUUCUCUUCUUCCUGUUAUUGGUGGUUAUGAAGGUUAGAUAUUUUUUUCCAUGGGGUCAAAAGAUACCUAAGUGUAUGAUUGCAAGUGGAAAAAUAGGGGAUAGAAAUCAGGUAAUGGCAUUUUUUCAAUUUUCAUUUGUGUGUAAAUUUUUAAUAUAAAUGUGGAGAUGUAAAGCAUUAAUGCAAGUUAAAAUGUUUCAGUGAACAGGUUUCAGCAGUUCAACUUUAUAAUAAUUAUAAAUAAACCUGUUAAAUUUUUCUAGACAAUGCCAGCAUUAGCAUUUUUUUAAAAACAAGUAAAUUUCUUAUUGACAGCAACUAAAUGGUGUUUGUAGCAUUUUUAUCACACAGUAGAUUCCAUCCAUUCACUAUGUUUUUCUAACUGAGUUGUCCUACAUGCAAGUACAUGUUUUUAAUGUUGUCUGUCUGCUGUGCUGUUCCUGUAAGUAUGCUAUUAAAA
rnacentral:lncRNA from 1 species